rnacentral:rRNA from 1 species
UGGGGAAUAUUGCACAAUGGGCGCAAGCCUGAUGCAGCCAUGCCGCGUGUAUGAAGAAGGCCUUCGGGUUGUAAAGUACUUUCAGCGGGGAGGAAGGGAGUAAAGUUAAUACCUUUGCUCAUUGACGUUACCCGCAGAAGAAGCACCGGCUAACUCCGUGCCAGCAGCCGCGGUAAUACAGAGGGUGCAAGCGUUAAUCGGAAUUACUGGGCGUAAAGCGCACGCAGGCGGUUUGUUAAGUCAGAUGUGAAAUCCCCGGGCUCAACCUGGGAACUGCAUCUGAUACUGGCAAGCUUGAGUCUCGUAGAGGGGGGUAGAAUUCCAGGUGUAGCGGUGAAAUGCGUAGAGGUCUGGAGGAAUACCGGUGGCGAAGGCGGCCCCCUGGACGAAGACUGACGCUCAGGUGCGAAAGCGUGGGGAGCAAACAGG